rnacentral:tRNA from 1 species
AUUUAAAUAGUUUACUUAAAAUAUUGAUUUGUGGAAUCAAAGUUAUAGCCUUUGUCUAUUUUA